GACGAACGCUGGCGGCGUGCUUAACACAUGCAAGUCGAACGGAAAGGCCCUGCUUUUGUGGGGUGCUCGAGUGGCGAACGGGUGAGUAACACGUGAGUAACCUGCCCUUGAAUUUGGGAUAACUUCAGGAAACUGGGGCUAAUACCGGAUAGGAGCUCCUGCUGCAUGGUGGGGGUUGGAAAGUUUCGGCGGUUGGGGAUGGACUCGCGGCUUAUCAGCUUGUUGGUGGGGUAGUGGCUUACCAAGGCUUUGACGGGUAGCCGGCCUGAGAGGGUGACCGGCCACAUUGGGACUGAGAUACGGCCCAGACUCCUACGGGAGGCAGCAGUGGGGAAUAUGGCACAAUGGGCGGAAGCCUGAUGCAGCAACGCCGCGUGCGGGAUGACGGCCUUCGGGUUGUAAACCGCUUUCGCCUGUGACGAAGCGUGAGUGACGGUAAUGGGUAAAGAAGCACCGGCUAACUACGUG
rnacentral:rRNA from 1 species